rnacentral:ncRNA from 2 species
CAACUCUGGAAAGCAGGGCUGAGCUGGAGUGCAGCCCUCACCGACGGUGUAAGCCGCCGGGUCGGACAGGUGCGCCUGCCCGCCCGCGGUGAAACUCUCAGGUUCCAUGACAGAGGGGGAGGA